UACGUAGGGUGCAAGCGUUGUCCGGAAUUAUUGGGCGUAAAGAGCUCGUAGGCGGUUUGUCGCGUCUGCUGUGAAAACUCGGGGCUUAACUCCGGGCCUGCAGUGGGUACGGGCAGACUAGAGUGCGGUAGGGGAGACUGGAAUUCCUGGUGUAGCGGUGAAAUGCGCAGAUAUCAGGAGGAACACCGGUGGCGAAGGCAGCUCUCUGGGACGGUACUGACGCUGAGACGCGAAAGCGUGGGGAGCGAACAGG
rnacentral:rRNA from 1 species